UCAGCAUAAUCUGGAGUUUGACUUUUCACCCAAAACAAAGCAAAAGUCCUUGAGCCUUUACAGAAGUUAGUGGCACGUGUCAUUUAACAGCAUCUGGGGUCCUGCUCAUCUCCUGUGUGUGAUCCAGAUGAAUCCACACCACUGAGUCAGCAGAGCCCGGUAGAUUUAUGUCAGAAAGAGGGUUUGCAGUUGUUCCUAAGAAA
rnacentral:lncRNA from 1 species